CGACGCUGGCGGCGUGCCUAAUACAUGCAAGUAGAACGCUGAAGAGAGGAGCUUGCUCUUCUUGGAUGAGUUGCGAACGGGUGAGUAACGCGUAGGUAACCUGCCUUGUAGCGGGGGAUAACUAUUGGAAACGAUAGCUAAUACCGCAUAACAAUGGAUGACACAUGUCAUUUAUUUGAAAGGGGCAAUUGCUCCACUACAAGAUGGACCUGCGUUGUAUUAGCUAGUAGGUGAGGUAAUGGCUCACCUAGGCGACGAUACAUAGCCGACCUGAGAGGGUGAUCGGCCACACUGGGACUGAGACACGGCCCAGACUCCUACGGGAGGCAGCAGUAGGGAAUCUUCGGCAAUGGGGGCAACCCUGACCGAGCAACGCCGCGUGAGUGAAGAAGGUUUUCGGAUCGUAAAGCUCUGUUGUAAGUCAAGAACGGGUGUAAGAGUGGAAAGUUCACACUGUGACGGUAGCUUACCAGAAAGGGACGGCUAACUACGUG
rnacentral:rRNA from 1 species